rnacentral:rRNA from 1 species
UAGGGAAUCUUCGGCAAUGGGGGCAACCCUGACCGAGCAACGCCGCGAGAGUGAAGAAGGUUUUCGGAUCUUAAAGCUCUGUUGUCAGAGAAGAACGUGUGUGAGAGUGGAAAGUUCACACAGUGACGGUAACUUACCAGAAAGGGACGGCUAACUACGUGCCAGCAGCCGCGGUAAUACGUAGGUCCCGAGCGUUGUCCGGAUUUAUUGGGCGUAAAGCGAGCUCAGGCGGUUUAAUAAGUCUGAAGUUAAAGGCAGUGGCUUAACCAUUGUUCGCUUUGGAAACUGUUAAACUUGAGUGCAGAAGGGGAGAGUGGAAUUCCAUGUGUAGCGGUGAAAUGCGUAGAUAUAUGGAGGAACACCGGUGGCGAAAGCGGCUCUCUGGUCUGUAACUGACGCUGAGGCUCGAAAGCGUGGGGAGCAAACAGG